CAGAUACCCCAGGUAGAUGAACAUAACAAACUGUGGAACCCUUUCACAAUUCACAGCACCUAUGAAAACAGAAAUUCCAAGGGAAAACUCUCAUUAAACCAAUGCUUAGAUCAUAAUUAUGUCUUAGACUUCCCAGCAAUAUUCCCAGUGUGGUCUGAUUCAGCUGAGACUAUCUCACUAAGAUGUGCUGGAUACCUCUAUGAGUCUCCUGUGCUACUGUUGAAUGGGUCCAGAUUUGUGGAACAAGCACUCCAUACAACCACGUAGGAAGCAUUUGGAUGAAACCCCAGACAACAUAACUGAAAAUGUCAGGUGAAUGCAUCAGCAUUUCGCAGCUAUCUUCUACUAUGAAGACCUGGUCUGGACAGUUUACAGGAGAGUAUAUUCUCAAGAGUGUUAUCCAGAAUGGAAAAAAAUACAUAUACUGUGUGUGCACUGUCUGGCAAGUCUUCCUCUCUUCCUUAUAACAGCUCUAAGGGCCCCUUUCAAAUCCUGCAGAUUAAUGCCAAAAGAACACUAAUGAGAUGUAUCUAAAGCAAACUACGAAGAAGAACAUAAGAUAGAGGGAAUAGAGAAAGGCACAUCAAAAAGUAGGUUUGUGGCUUCAGAUCUCUGGCUUUCUUGGGUGUCUUUCAGCCGUAAGCUCAAAAUAAAAUUAAUUGCUGGCAUGCAUGUGUUUACUGGGAAAAAAAUGAGCAGAAGAUUUAUGUAUAUGGGGCCAGCCAGUUCACACAUAGUUGAAUUCACAUGUUUCUGAGUAUUCUUUUUCCAAGAGGAGUGAAUCAUUUUGAUAAAUCUUUCACAAAUCUAGCACAAAUUGUUGCCAGUUUAGUUGCUUUUGUAUGCAAAGCUGAGUGAAAAAAAUGGGUCUCUUGAUCUGUAAGAAAUCAGCUAUAUGUUGAUUAUACAGGACAUGGAAAUUCCCCUCAAUCCAGUAAAACUGAUGUCCACAAGAAACCCCUGGAAUUCUCUACACCAGGGUAGGGCCCAAUAGAAAAUGGCUGAAAAUAGGUGGAUGAUCUCAGAGGUCUUUAUCAACCUUAGUGAAUCUAUGAUUCUAUGAUUCUAAAAUAGAAACAGAGUUGAGAAAAUAUAAGAAAGGAAGCCAUUACCCUAAACAGUGACAUGAGUUCACUGCCUAUGAGAUCUAACACAUUUGUGUCACACUGGCUUUAAGUACAGAUCUUCAGCCACUUGGCUCAUGAAUAAUUUCAUCGGAAUGGAAUCCAGGACUUAUACAGAAAAUAAACUUUUCUGAGGAGUAAUGGGUUUGUUUGUGGUACUGCUUUUGGUAUACACAGGGACAAUGAAGAAAUCUCCUGAAUGAUAGUCAUAAAUGGUUUCAAAAGCCUAACAGGGCAGACAGAUUGCUAAUCAGAUUGCAAAGUGUACUGAACAAAAGGAGGGAGAAAUUGUAAAGGCAAACCAGAAGAAAGCUUGAGUGGACUGAAAAGCCUGGAAGGAAGAGAGCAAUGGUUUGAAUUGCAUUUGAAAUGAAAGGGGAAGUGAUUGAUAUAGAAAGAUGUGAAGGGAAGCUGGCCAUGAUGACAUCAAUUAAGCAUUUAUUUCUGUGGAAGUAUUGUCAAAUGGCAUAAUUUAAUGGUGUGCCCUUCUGCUGAGGAGAUAAUUUGAUGCUUGUGUUAGAUGAUAUUUGUUUGUCUGUAUUUUACUAGGAAUGGUUAAUCAUAGCUGAUUUACAAUUAGUUUUAUGAGCCCUUCGCAAGGGGUUGGGUGUUGUAUUUGCAUGUGCUUGUACCUUUCCUGACUAUUCAGGGUUGAGUAAUGCAUAUGCAGUGCAGGAUGGGAUCUAUAUGGAAUGCGAAGGACAUGCAGCAGUAGGAAGUAUGCAGUGUGAGAAGGAACUCAACAGAAGUAACUCCUGUGAAGGAGCACAUGCUAGAACUAGAGUUAUUCUAAUAAUAGAACAAAAACAUAAGAAUAAAUCUAGAAUACAAGCUAUGCCCCUAUGGAUUCAGCCCUUCUUACAUCCCAGCUUCAGUAUCUUUGACAUUAACAUAACGGACAAAAGCGAGCAACCAAAUUUCAUACCUCUGUGCUGCUCUUUGGAAGGAAGCAAUUGUGCUUCUGCACGGAUCUCUGUUGAACAACAGAGGAUU